UAUUCUGCAAGAAAGGCUUGCAUUCAAGGAGACACUAUGUCUUCCAACCAAUGCCCAUUGACCAUGCAGUGAAACAAAGAGGCAUGAUCACUGCAACAAGGAACCUCUCACAUGUGCUGCCUGUGAAUGUGCAUCAUGCAACAAAGGACCUAAAAUCCUAGGUUAGAUCAGGUCCUUGGGCUCUUCAGUAUGUGGGGAAACAGGGCUGAGGCUGCAGCCACAAGAGAGAGACUGGACUGACCCUCCAGGGUCAGCAGAUUGUGGCGAGGCCUUGGGGAGGAGGCCAUAGGGUCUCUGCCAGGAAUCGGGGGCGGAUGGGGACUCCGGCCACAGAAGGUUUGGAAUGCUACCAUGUGGAAUGAGAAAGCCAACAAAACAGCAGAGGGAUGCGGCGAGGCGGUCAAGGGUAGACAGCAUCACUGUGCACUGGGAUCAAUCCAGAUUUAUUCACUUAGUGAGCGCAGUUGAUGACAGUCUUCCUUAUCUACCAGGAUCCUGGACCCAGCACCAAUAAAAACAAAACAAAACAAAAACCAGAUUGUUGGGCUCUUCCAACUCUGGAGAGUGGAAAUACAGGCACUCAGACGGCAGCUGUCCCAUCUCAGAGGCACCUCAGGUGGUGGCCUUGAACUUGGUGUCCAGACUGAAAUGGGAAACCAUACACCGUAAGAGGUGGAGCAGGCUUAAGGCACGGGGGAGGCAGCAGGAGGAGGGAAGAAGGCGAGGGAAAGGGGGUACCCCUCGAUAGGAGCCAGCAGGCAUCCAGGGAUCUGCAGCGUGGUGAUGGCUGGAGGCGCAAAAGUCAGGAGACACAGUUAAUCCAAGAGCUGUUGCUGCUGCUGCUGUUGCAGAGAUGAAAGACUUUCCAAGCCAGUCAGUGAUAUGCUUGGAGCUUUCCCCUGUGCAGCCACCUGUGGCUUCCAAGGUCUUUGGUCCUCCAAGACACAUCAAAAAGGACUUCCCAUGGGAGUUCCCAUUGUGGCUCAGUGAUAAUGAACCUGACUAGGAUCCAUGAGGAUGCAGGUUCCAUCCCU